rnacentral:rRNA from 1 species
CAGGCCUAACACAUGCAAGUCGAACGGGGUAGCAAUACCUAGUGGCGCACGGGUGAGUAACGCGUGGAUAAUCUGCCUUGGAGUGGGGGAUAACUAGUCGAAAGAUUAGCUAAUACCGCAUAAGACCACAGGAGCUGCGGCUCUAGGGGUCAAAGGUUUUUCGUUCCAAGAUGAGUCCGCGUAAGAUUAGCUAGUUGGUGAGGUAAUGGCUCACCAAGGCGACGAUCUUUAACUGGUCUGAGAGGAUGAUCAGUCACACUGGAACUGAGACACGGUCCAGACUCCUACGGGAGGCAGCAGUAGGGAAUAUUGCACAAUGGAGGAAACUCUGAUGCAGCGACGCCGCGUGAGUGAUGAAGGCCUUCGGGUCGUAAAGCUCUGUCGCAGGGGAAUAACACAAUGAAUGUACCCUGUAAGAAAGGAUCGGCUAACUUCGUGCCAGCAGCCGCGGUAAGACGAGGGAUCCUAGCGUUGUUCGGAAUUAUUGGGCGUAAAGCGGAUGUAGGUGGCUUUGUAAGUCAGAUGUGAAAGCCCAGGGCUCAACCCUGGAAGUGCAUUUGAUACUGCGAAGCUUGAGUGUCGGAGAGGUUACUAGAAUUGUUGGUGUAGUGGUGAAAUACGUAGAUAUCAACAGGAAUACCGGAGGCGAAGGCGGGUAACUGGCCGAACACUGACACUGAGAUCCGAAAGCGUGGGGAUCAAACAGGAUUAGAUACCCUGGU